CAACAGCUAGAGUUUGAUCCUGGCUCAGGACGAACGCUGGCGGCGCGCCUAACACAUGCAAGUCGAACGGAGUUCAUCCAGUUGAAGUUUUCGGAUGGAUACAGGGUGAACUUAGUGGCGAACGGGUGAGUAACGCGUGAGUAACCUGCCCUUCAGAGGGGGAUAGCGUCUGGAAACGGACGGUAAUACCGCAUAACGUACAAAGGCCGCAUGACCAUUGUACCAAAACUGAGGUGCUGAAGGAUGGGCUCGCGUUGGAUUAGAUAGUUGGUGGGGUAACGGCCUACCAAGUCGACGAUCCAUAGCCGGACUGAGAGGUUGAACGGCCACAUUGGGACUGAGACACGGCCCAGACUCCUACGGGAGGCAGCAGUGGGGGAUAUUGCACAAUGGAGGAAACUCUGAUGCAGCGACGCCGCGUGAGGGAAGACGGUCUUCGGAUUGUAAACCUCUGUCUUUAGGGACGAAAAUGACGGUACCUAAGGAGGAAGCCACGGCUAACUACGUGCC
rnacentral:rRNA from 1 species